UUUGUGCAGCUGGGAAUAGCAGGAAAGUGGGUGUCAUAGGAAAAAACAAUGCAGUGAUUUCUUUGCAGAGCUAAAUGAAACAGUAAGACUAGAAUGGGCAUGAUUGGUUAAAUUCAAUAAAUGUUCUUAAUUGUUUGGAGGAGGGAACUUGGCAUCGGACUUUUCUGAAAUCAAAGUGGCUGUGGAAGAUCUAUGGAACAAGUUGCUAAAUAAACACUAAAUAAGUCAUCAAGGCUUGAGUCUUCACUUGAGUUCUGGAUGAAUUUCAGAAUGAAAUAGCUGAGUUACUACUGGAAGCAUGUGACCUCUCAUAACUUCAAACCUGGGGACUGCAGCCCAAGAUUAUGGAAUCAAGUGAAGAUAGGAGACUUUUGACUUCCACUUCAAAGAAAUUCUACAGGCUGGAUGGAGAAGAAAUAUGUCCGGAUCACUGUGGCACAGGACCCAAACUGGAAGGAGCAGGAUCCCAGCCUUACUCUGCCAUGGCUACAGGGCUUUCAGACCCACACUUCCUAGCCAGCUGUCUUUGCUGCCUGCUGUGGGCACACAUUGCUGGGGAAUGUAGAUAACUAGCUGUGAAAGUGUCCUUCAUGGCAAAUGGUGAAAGCCUAAAGUCUUGAAUUCUAAACAAGAGGAAAGGGAAGAAAUAAAUGUUUUGCUUUCAGGAAGUGGACUUGCAUAAGAUAAAGGAGGAAAAGAUCCAUUCUGUCUGCAUCUGAACCCAUGAAUAACUGGAAGGAAUAAGGCCAUUUGGGGAUGACCAAAUUAUGGAAAAUGACAAUAGCAACGUUGCACCAUUUCUUAUGGUGAUCCAUAGUAGAUCUACAUGGCCAUCCAACUUUCUCAGCAGGAGUCCAAUGAGGAACUGUUCGGUCUGCAAUAUUUAUCCUAGUGACUUCCGUUUUGGUUAUCUGAGGAGAUUACUUCAUACAGUCCCAAAAAAAAGGAAUACUCAAUGUGAAUCUCUAUUUUUUCUAUUAAUUUGUGUGAAUUAACAUAAUACAAAAUAGUCUUUACAAAUUAAUGGGAAAAACUGUACAGCCAGAAAACAUAAGAAAAUCAGAAAAUCAAGUUUCAGAAAAGCUACUGGAAAAUAAAAUGAACAUAAAAAUCAUUCCUUAUCUUUGAUUUCAAAACCUACAUUUGAAAAGAGGUACAAUAAGAUAAUCACAGUUACAUUAAAUGUAUUAUCUGUUUUUUGUGAAAUAUAAAUUUUAUUUUUGUUUCCUUACGGCAGUACUGAAAAUGAUUAAAAUCACAUGAAAAGAUAAAUAUUGAGAAUUGCAGAAAAGCAAACAAGCAUUUCAAGAACUGUUAUGUGAAGGCCACAGCAAACUAAACCCCGUAACACUGAUCUAGCGAGGUCCUUAUUUUCAAAUAAAUUUUUG